rnacentral:sRNA from 1 species
UUGCUUGGUUACCAUAGUAUCCUCUGCCUCCAAGUCUCUCCUGAUGAUGUCAGUAUGCAUACAGGGGUUGUUCAGAGCAUCUACGUGGGGAUGAUUCACCCCACAAUAAAGCCCCUCUCUCUCGUUGCUCGCUUUCCAGUGUGAUUUCAGACAUCUGUAGCAAUGGAAGGUUCUCAAUGAUGACUGACGCGGGUUUGGGUGAUACCCCUCACAGUCCCUGUCAUUCCGGAGUGAUAAGGCACCCGCGCGUCUAGCCCCAGCGCCAGGGCACGCGAGCGGCGCUGGAGGGAGGAAAGCUUCCGCCUGCGGGCCGGACAAAAGUCCCGCCUGCCCACGGCUUUCUGCCCGCCGCUCGUGACAGAGACGCCUCGCCGCGGCCAGCUCGCUGCUCUCGCGGGCGGAUGGUGUGUGGCCGCCGCAGGACGCCCGCCGCGCCUGGGCCAUGAAGUAGCGGCUGCUGGCGGCGCCGCUGCCCAACCGCCGGCCCCAGCCCCGCGCUGCGCUGCCCGGUCCUCUCCCGGCGGGGUCGGAUCGGCGUG